rnacentral:rRNA from 1 species
UCCAGACUCCUACGGGAGGCAGCAGUGAGGAAUAUUGGUCAAUGGGCGGAAGCCUGAACCAGCCAAGUCGCGUGAGGGAAGAAGGCCCUGCGGGUCGCAGACCUCUUUGGACGGGGAGCAAGGCCGCCGACGUGUCGGCGGAAGGAGGGUACCCGUAGAACAAGCAUCGGCUAACUCCGUGCCAGCAGCCGCGGUAAUACGUAGGUGGCAAGCGUUAUCCGGAUUUAUUGGGUGUAAAGGGCGUGUAGGCGGGAACGCAAGUCAGAUGUGAAAACUCAGGGCUCAACCCUGAGCCUGCAUUUGAAACUGUGCUUCUUGAGUGCUGGAGAGGCAAUCGGAAUUCCGUGUGUAGCGGUGAAAUGCGUAGAUAUACGGAGGAACACCAGUGGCGAAGGCGGAUUGCUGGACAGUAACUGACGCUGAGGCGCGAAAGCGUGGGGAGCAAACAGGAUUAGAUACCCCGGUA